rnacentral:rRNA from 1 species
GAUGAGGACAUCAAUACAAUUGUUACACCCACAGCCCCUGCUGCUAUACAUACUGGACCAAUUACUAGAGCUCGUGCACGCCAACUAAGUUACCAGGUACUUUCGUUUCUUGGUAAUGAUUCUAAUGUUCAUGAGAAUAUGAUGCUGCCUAAAUUGGAUACAUUUGUUUUGCUUACAAAUGAAGGGCCUAGCUUGGAGAAGGAUGAACAUUGGAGCAAGAACAAGCAUGGAGAUGAUGGCAUGCGCAAGGGGAACAAGAACGGAGUUACAAGUGAUGAUUUCAGGACUUUGAAGCCACCAUAA